AAUUUAGACAGAGUCUUCCUCUACAGGAAAUGAGAAGGAGAUAUACAUUAAGGGUUGCGGUUAAACUGACUCACCCCGAUAACUACAAAAGCGCCUCCCAUAAAUUCAAUCAGGGUUCAACUGCUGUUUCGUUGAGAAAAGCCGAAGAAUGGCAGCCGUUUUAAGGUCGAUCUUUGGUUUCCCCUUGUGCUGCUUUCCUUGUUUAGGGAAAGCGAAGAAAAAUCCAGCGUCACAGGCCAGUGGAAUCGUUGGUGAUUUGUGUGGCUCAUCUGGAGCAGAGGAGAAAUGUCCCUUAUUUAAAAUUUUCGAUGGAUCUUCCUCAAGCGCAAAUGGUCAACAGAAAAUUCCAACUGGAAAGAAGAAGACUUCCAUUCGUGGUUCUUGAGAGACGAUUGCGAGACAAGUUGACCCCAUUAUGUCACUGUUGUCCGACCUCGUGGGCCAAUGUUUGGAAGUAAUUCAGAUAAAUUUAGUUCGCUAACAUUUAUAAAUAGGAUUAUUGGCAGAGAAAUAGUAAGAUAUAACUCUCGCAGCGAUACAUAUAUCAAUAACAAUGAGUUCCAUCUUCAACAAUGUAUGCAAUGUUAAAAUAGCACCUGUAAACAUACAACAGUAAGGAGGCCGAGUUCGACCAUAAAUCUGACACAUAUUAAUUGUACAACACGGGUUUAUAACGCUGUGGUCUGUGGAGACUCUUUUGUAAGCUUGUAGACAUUGCAAACGUGACAAAU